CUAAGCCCUAAUUUUUAUUUUAUUUUCCUUUUCCCUUUUCUUUUUCUUUUUCUUUUUCUUUUCUUUCUUUCUUUCUCUCUCUUCCUCCAUCUCUCUCUCUCUCUUUAUUUUCUCCCUCUCUCGGCAAACUCUCUCUCUUUCCCCGAUUUCUCUAUCUCUCCCUUCCUCUCAAACUCAAUCUCUCUAUCUCCCACCGGUGAAACCACCACCACUCCAACCUCCUUCUUAUUUCUUCCAUCCGACAAACCCAAGGAAGCACAAACCUCGCCGCCAUUUUUUUCAUCAUUUUUGGCGAGAUUCUUGGCCAAGGGGCUGAGUUCUCCCAUCUUUUUCACUCAAUCUCUCUCGGGUAACCUUAUUUUCAUCAUCUUCGGCCGAUUUAGGCCAAGGAGAGUUUGUCUUUAGCUCCGGCAAGCUUCUGAAAUUUCCGGCGAGACUUCUGCGAGUCUCUGGUCAUGUUCUCUGGAACACCUCCGUUUUGAUCUGAAUCCUUCGUUUCAAUCUCCUCUUCUCUCUCUUGGAUCGGCGUAGAUAAAAGACUCUUGCUACACAGAGCUCCAUAACCUCCACCACCUCCUCCUUUAGAGGCAAAGUCUUCUUCUUCGUCUUCCUCUUCUGCAUCUACAGCAUCCCAUUCCGAGCCAUCUUCUAUGGAGGCCGAGCAUCCUAUUGUCAGAGAGGUUUAUAAAGUUCAAACAGGCUAAAAAGAGCCAUUUAGCUCAAUUUUGGAGCUAAGGAGCAAAUCCAGAAAGAAGUCAGAAAAUUACACCAGAGGAACUUCGAUCAAUCGAAGGAAAUCCCGAUCGAUCGAAGCUGGCUAUAAUCAAUCAAAAUGAGGCGGUGCCAGCUCAGCAUUGUGGAUAAAGCCCGGAAGAUAUUUUUGAGGACACGUCAGCUUCGAUCGAUCGAAGAUAAGUGUUUGAUCGAUCGAACUGACUGCUGGCAGUGUGUUGUCUAAUUCCCGAGCAUGCAGGACUCUAUCUAACUUGAGUAGCUGCGAAUUUCCUCCAAUCAUAGGCUAUAUUUCUGACUUGGUGCCUACUCAAAGAGGCUUGUAAUAGAUAUAUUGAAUAAUUAUUGUAAAAAUAUCAUAGAGAGUUGUUCUUACCAAAUAUAGAAAUAGUUUAUCUCUCUAGAACUAGGGUUUUGGGAAGAAAGUAAGGAUGAAGAUGAUGAUCCCAACCUCCAAGCUAUCCCUUAAAGGUUCCACGACUAGUAUAAUGAGUGGCUAAAUCCUUCCCUUGGGGCUAGAGAUAGCCCUUAGGCUUGCUUCUUAAACCUAGCUUUUGUGUAUUUUGGCGGAUUUUAGUUGUAAUUGAUGUUUUGACCAUGAAUAAAUAUAGAUCUUGUGAUUUUUACAUAA